rnacentral:rRNA from 1 species
UACGUAGGGAGCAAGCGUUGUCCGGAUUUAUUGGGCGUAAAGAGCUCGUAGGCGGCUUGGCAAGUCGGAUGUGAAACCCCCAGGCUUAACCUGGGGCCGCCAUUCGAUACUGCUAUGGCUUGAGUUCGGUAGGGGAUUGUGGAAUUCCCGGUGUAGCGGUGAAAUGCGCAGAUAUCGGGAGGAACACCAAUGGCGAAGGCAGCAAUCUGGGCCGACACUGACGCUGAGGAGCGAAAGCGUGGGGAGCAAACAGGAUUAGAUACCCUGGUAGUCCACGCCCUAAACGUUGGGCACUAGGUGUGGGACCUACUUCGACGGGUUCCGUGCCGUAGCUAACGCAUUAAGUGCCCCGCCUGGGGAGUACGGCCGCAAGGCUAAAACUCAAAGGAAUUGACGGGGGCCCGCUCAAGCGGCGGAGCAUGUGGCUUAAUUCGAUGCAACGCGAAGAACCUCACCUGGGCUUGACAUGUUGGGAAAAGCCGUAGAGAUACGGUGUCCAUUAGGGCCCUUCACAGGUGGUGCAUGGCUGUCGUCAGCUCGUGUCGUGAGAUGUUGAGUUAAGUCCCGCAACGAGCGCAACCCUUGUCUUAUGUUACCAGCGAGUAAUGUCGGGGACUCAUGAGAGACUGCCGGGGUCAACUCGGAGGAAGGUGGGGAUGACGUCAAGUCAUCAUGCCCCUUAUGUCCAGGGCUGCACACAUGCUACAAUGGCCGGUACAGAGGGUCGCAGUCCCGCGAGGGGGAGCUAAUGCCACAAAGCCGGUCUCAGUUCGGAUCGCAGUCUGCAACUCGACUGCGUGAAGCCGGAGUCGCUAGUAAUCCCGAAUCAGCAUUGUCGGGGUGAAUACGUUCCCGGGCCU